UGAUUGUGAGGAGGGGGUUCC
rnacentral:misc_RNA from 1 species